CCAGACUCCUACGGGAGGCAGCAGUGGGGAAUAUUGCACAAUGGGGGAAACCCUGAUGCAGCGACGCCGCGUGAGUGAAGAAGUAUUUCGGUAUGUAAAGCUCUAUCAGCAAGGAAGAAAAUGACGGUACCUGACUAAGAAGCCCCGGCUAACUACGUGCCAGCAGCCGCGGUAAUACGUAGGGGGCAAGCGUUAUCCGGAUUUACUGGGUGUAAAGGGAGCGUAGACGGCAUGGCAAGUCAGAUGUGAAAGCCCGGGGCUCAACCCCGGGACUGCAUUUGAAACUGUCAGGCUGGAGUGCGGGAGAGGUAAGUGGAAUUCCUAGUGUAGCGGUGAAAUGCGUAGAUAUUAGGAGGAACACCAGUGGCGAAGGCGGCUUACUGGACUGUAACUGACGUUGAGGCUCGAAAGCGUGGGGAGCGAACAGGAUUAGAUACCCGAGUA
rnacentral:rRNA from 1 species